rnacentral:rRNA from 1 species
AUACGUAGGGAGCGAGCGUUGUCCGGAAUUACUGGGUGUAAAGGGUGCGUAGGCGGGACUGCAAGUCAGAUGUGAAAUGCCGGGGCUCAACCCCGGAGCUGCAUUUGAAACUGUGGUUCUUGAGUGAGGUAGAGGUAAGCGGAAUUCCUAGUGUAGCGGUGAAAUGCGUAGAUAUCAGGAGGAACACCGGUGGCGAGGGCGGCUUACUGGGCUUUUACUGACGCUGAGGCUCGAAAGCGUGGGGAGCAAACAGGAUUAGAUACCCUGGUAGUCCACGCUGUAAACGAUGAUUACUAGGUGUGGGGGGACUGACCCCUUCCGUGCCGCAGUUAACACAAUAAGUAAUCCACCUGGGGAGUACGGCCGCAAGGUUGAAACUCAAAUGAAUUGACGGGG